CAGUCGCCGCGGUAAUACGUAGGUGGCAAGCGUUAUCCGGAAUUAUUGGGCGUAAAGCGCGCGUAGGCGGUUUUUUAAGUCUGAUGUGAAAGCCCACGGCUCAACCGUGGAGGGUCAUUGGAAACUGGAAAACUUGAGUGCAGAAGAGGAAAGUGGAAUUCCAUGUGUAGCGGUGAAAUGCGCAGAGAUAUGGAGGAACACCAGUGGCGAAGGCGGCUUUCUGGUCUGUAACUGACGCUGAUGUGCGAAAGCGUGGGGAUCAAACAGGAUUAGAUACCCGCGUAGUCCCUGUCUCUUAUAC
rnacentral:rRNA from 1 species